rnacentral:rRNA from 1 species
GUGGGGAAUCUUGCGCAAUGGGCGAAAGCCUGACGCAGCAACGCCGCGUGCGGGAUGAAGGCCUUCGGGUUGUAAACCGCUUUCAGCAGGGAAGAAAUUGACGGUACCUGCAGAAGAAGCCCCGGCCAACUACGUGCCAGCAGCCGCGGUAACACGUAGGGGGCGAGCGUUGUCCGGAUUUAUUGGGCGUAAAGAGCUCGUAGGCGGUUCGGUAAGUCGGGUGUGAAACCUCCAGGCUCAACCUGGAGACGCCACCUGAUACUGCUGUGACUAGAGUCCGGUAGGGGAGUGUGGAACUCCUGGUGUAGCGGUGAAAUGCGCAGAUAUCAGGAAGAACACCAGCGGCGAAGGCGGCACUCUGGGCCGGUACUGACGCUGAGGAGCGAAAGCGUGGGUAGCAAACAGGAUUAGAUACCCCUGUAGUCC